rnacentral:misc_RNA from 1 species
UUAGCCGUUCUGGCUCAGUGGUUUCCAUCGGUUCCUGUGUUGCCUACCGGUGAAAUGGUACAUCUGUGGCUUGCGAGAUAUGUUCCGUCCGGGCAUCUCUUCGGGGAUGCCCGGGGAUUUUAAAGCGAUGCACGUGUACCACGUUAGUCCGCAUUCUUACGGCUAUUGUGGUGCCCGGGCAGACGCUGUUCUCUCGGAUGCGGUCUAUGCGGUGAACGUGGGUCGAAUUGUCCCACCGUGUCCCUUAAAAGUUACGGUUGCCUUGAAUGACGCCUGCCUCGGUGCCUGCUCUGUCUUCCACUCCAUUGUUGGGGGCCGAUGCUCGCGCCGGGGACAGUGUCGUUAACGGGUGCUA